rnacentral:pre_miRNA from 1 species
GGAUGGUUUAUGAGGAAUUAUGUUGACAGAAGAGAGUGAGCACAACCCCGCAUUGAUGAAAGAGAGCUUUGUCAUUUUUGGGAGUGUGCUCACUCUUCUUCUGUCAGCAUCAUCAACAACACUUAAUCC